ensembl:lncRNA
ACUUCGUGAGCUCCCUGGAGACUGGGACAAUGUCUUCACCUUUGUGCACAAGAGGAGGCUUCAACCAGCAAAGACUCUCACAGGAGCUCCAGCCCACACAAAAUCUCCUCAUUUGACUUGCUGAAGUUUGUCUAUUCCAGGGAGUUUUGCUGUCUCACCUUUCAUAGAUCAGUGCUUGCCUGGGAUUAAUUUUCUAAGUAUGGUGUGAGGUAGGGGUCAAGAUUCACCUUGGUCCCAAGUGUUGAAAUCCUGACUCCGCCCAAGAUAGUUCUAGGGGGUGAGGCCUUGGGAGAUGAUUGGAUUAUGAGGAAGCAGCCCCACAAAGAGCCAGGUGACUGAGCUGCCUCUUCCACCACAUGAGGACACCUGAAAGCUCCAUCAAUAAAUAGCCCAAAUGGACUAUAACAAAAAUAUACAUACUUUUCUUCUCCAAAUGUUGACCUGACUGGACCAGUCAACUAGACAAUAAAGAACACCACUAAGAAUUGUUAAGCUGAAGUAAGUUUGGCCUAAACCUGUCUCUGUACUUGAGGGGUAAAGUUUGGCCCCACAUGGCCUACAUACCCAACUAUGACCCAGUGUGUUGUGUACACAAAUU